UAUAUAAGGCUGCUACUCCUUUGGUUCUACUCCACUGGCUGGUUGAGCUUGCUACUAUCGAAUCGUUGACAAUUACUUCAACUACGCUUUAGGCUCUUUCCCCUGUUCCGAUUUAUUGAAGUCUGAGUGGUCCUUGUGUGACUUGAAGUCACUGAAAGUAAGAAAGAACUCACCCGUUCCCGCUGGAUUAGUGGAGUUUUUGCUUCAAAACCCACCCUCAACAGAGGUUAACAUUGUUGAUUAAUUAAGGUCAGGGUGUUGAGAAUGUUUACACCCAGCAUCAGCCACUUCUGUUCCAAAUAAUGGAAAGCAUUGUCAAAGGGCGAUUGAGAGAUGUAGACUACCCAUUUUUUGAGAAUCACUUCCAACAAGGAAGGUUUGUUGCUAUUGAAUAUAAACUUUUCUUUGUAAUUUUAUUUGUAGAC